rnacentral:rRNA from 1 species
AGGCCAAACCGUAUGUGUGUGAUACCCGGCAGGGGUUGCAUGUACGGGGUUGUGGGAUUGUUCUUUCAUGGUCUGCCGGCCGUGAGGUGAGUCAGAAACCGUUGGUGUAGGCGAAGGACAUGCGAAAGGUCCGGCGUAGAGGGUAAGACCCCCGUAGCUGAAACAUUGACGGCUCACUUGAAUUAUUCCCAAGUAGCACGGGGCCCGAGAAAUCCUGUGUGAAUCUGGCGGGACCACCCGCU